GAUUGUCGCCAAUCCCCUGUCACGAGUCAGUGGCUUCUGAAACAAACCCCACACCCGAGAUUGUCGCUGAUCCCCACGUCGUGACAGACAUUCACCGAGUUCGUCCAUGCCGCCCCACCCGCGAUUCCCCUGGAAAUCUCGCCCGCGCCGCGACCGCUGCCCCUGCGCCCCGAAACUUCGCCGUCACCCCCCGCUCCCCGUGUCCUCACUAGGGACAUAGAAUGUCUCUGCUGCAUCUACGGCGGCACCAGGACCAAAGUCGGCAUCAGCGGGGGCCGGGAAGGGCGCGAAUGGUCAGUCGGUGGUGCAGCGGCUGCAAUCGGAGCUGUUGGCGCUGUUGAUGGGCGACGACCCAGGCGUGUCGGCGUUCCCUGGGGCGACAACAUGCUCCACUAGGUGGGCACCAUCUCGGGAUGGUUCUUAUGGAUUGUGCUGUCCCUACGCUAUUGCUGUAGCGGAGGUCGUGACGGGGUCAAUGACGUGGUUCGGGAGGGGCUCUCCUGCAUCUCCAGCUCUGCGCAGAGGAGGGACAGCGAUGCCACGCCUAGGCAGAUAGGAUUCAUCUAUUUCUUUACGACUUCAUUCCUAGUGUUCUUCUUCGAUUCUGAAGCCGCGCCAGAUUCCCCACUAGCAUCAUAAUUAUAUGACAAUUGCCAAAGCCCAAGAGUGUGCUGGAAUUUUACCAUAAAAUGAAAUUUAGGAGUGCUUGUUGGGGAGAUUGCAAAUUUCAUCGCUCACAUGUUUGUACCAGCGAUCCUCGGCACGCCACUGGGCGCACUCAGCAUUAUUGUGAGGUAUAGUGGUGGAUGCCUCAGGUGUUUUUUUAUGUUUCUGAUGAGUUUUGUUAUGUGUGCAGUGCUGUUCUAGCACAUUUCACACUGAAUGAGAAGUUGCAAGUUGCAUCGGAUGGGCGUGCUGGGCUAUGAUCUCUGCAUUGUUGGGUCAACGAUGAUCAUUCUACAUGCUCCCCAAUAGAGGACCCCUAGCUCCGUGGAAUGGAUUUGGUAGAGCUUGGUAGAGCAAGUAUAUUCUCCAAAUUAUUCUCAUUAUCUUUUCUGUUGAUUACUGCAGACCUGUUUGCACCACUCCCGCAAAAAGUAUACUGGCAUAUCAAGGGAACGGCGAUGUUGGGAAGCAAAGAGAGGAUGACUCCCUUGCAUGCGAAUUCAUCACUAUUGUGUGGCAAGACUACUUUGUGUAGGGACCAGUCAGCAUGCUUGGUGUCACAUGUGUUCUUUCUGAGACCCUCUGCUGCAGUUGUAGACAAAAUCCGGUGCGCACCCAUCAACACCAGGUCGAGGCAAUUACAAACUUUUGUAGAAAUUGUGACCAGCACACUGUUUCCAAGCCAGUGCCCACAAUAUUUCUUUACUGUUUCCCCCUAGGAUGAUUCAAAAAUAGUUGCCAUGAUAAAAAAAAUUGUUGGAGACUCAUUCGACCAACUAUUCAAGAUGAAAGUGGUGACAUUGAAUAUUCGAUCUGUGUGUCUUUCCCUUCCUCCCGUUGUGUGUGGUCUUGUUGCUGAUAUGAAGAUUUUGGUUUCCUUGCCUCACUAGAACACUAUCCUUUCAAAGAAAUAGGAACAAUUAAGCUUAAAAUGCAAGGUGUCUGUAGCGGCUGUCCAAGUUCAUCUGUCACAUUGAAGUCUGGGAUAGAAAACAUGCUUAUGCACUAUGGGCCUGUUUGGUUUGGUCCUCAACGGAUCUGUCAGGCCCAGACAGCGUCCCAAGCCAUUGAUUUUGGACGCCUGAGGGCUACGAUGGAAUGCCUGGCAGGCAUCUGCCUGGGAGGCUGCAAUCCAAAUGUGCCCUAUGUGCCUCAUGUGAUGUGAAGCAAUUUAAUAUGUUCUUUGCUGAUGAUAUUUCCUAAUGCUUGUUGUUCAAAAAUCAAUGUUCUCUAUUUAAUAACUGGAAUGUGAAGUGAUUUACUUUGUUCUUGCUGUAGUUCCUUAAUGCAUAUAGCUCAAAAGAUGUUCUCUGUUAGGUAACUAGAAUGGUUGUCAUUUGGGAAAUCAACUCCUAUUGCAAUUGUUCUCUAUGAUGGGUUUUCCUUAAUUAUCCAUCUAUUCUACUGGGUGUUUGUGGUUCAAAAAACAAUGUUCUCUAUUUGAUAACUAGAAUGUGAAUUGAUUUAUUCUGUUCUUGUUGUUGUUCCUUAAUGCCCGUGGCUCAAAAGAUGUUCUCUGCUAGAUAACUAGAAUGGUUGUCAUUUGGGAAAUAAAUUCCUAUUGCAAUUGUUAUCUAUGAUGGGGUUUCCUUAAUUAUCCAUAUAUUCUACUGGGUUUUCCUUAAUUGUCAAUUGAUCCAACUAUUCUAUUCUCGUUGGUAGUUCGCAAGUCAGGUAUGUUGUGCACUGCGCAAGAUCAUGGGUGUCGAGCGGUUCGCGCGUGCACCGGCUGGACGUGCUCUAGCACCGCCAGAGUGAGAAGCUGCGACAGCUCGUGGAUCGAACAAGGCCUAGAAGGUGAUCGCCACCUUAAGCACUAUCUGACGAUGAGAUGCAGAAAAAACAGUGAGAAGUCCAUAGAGGAAGAGGAUUCGAUGGAGGGAUCAAGAAAAAUUAAACGCGAACCUUCAUCGCCGCUGCAAGGUAGCUUUAUACAAGCAGAAGGAGAAGGGUUCUUUGGCGGAGGCUAUACAUGCCACGGUUUGGAAUUUGUCAAUGGUCAUACAGAGAAUCCAUUGAUGAGAAGCCUAAAUCAUUGGGCCGGAGACAGCAGUGCGAUGAGGGCCAAUCCCUUACAAUAAUUGCUGGUCGACUACCAAGCAAGUCAAGCACGCGUAGGUUGCAGUGCAGCUCAUACGUAAGAGAGAUUUACAUGGUCGUUGGAGUUAUUUUGAAGUACUAUGGAGUGGACAGUUCAGAGAUGUAUAUAUAUAAAAAUUUGUUUCCCUACCGUAGGAUAUGCCAAAUCACCUCAGCUGGCGGUUUUCGCUAUAAAAUGUUGCAACAAGUUGGUACUCUAACCACCAGUUCAAAGAAUAAUCUCGAGCAAGUUAAUCAUG